rnacentral:misc_RNA from 1 species
GGCUUUUGUGGUUUUUUAGAAAGAGUCUUUUCACUAAAACUCUAUUGGCCAGAGAAGUUUUGUGGUUUGGUAUGGCUGAUCGUUCUAAGUGAGGCAGUGGGAGUGUGCUGUGAGUUGCCGUGAGGAUGAGUAACUUAAAGUCGUUUAGUUGACAUUCUAUUGAUUAUCGCCUAACUCCAAAGGACAAACAUGCCAUUGAGCUUUGCUCAUCGACUCUCCUCGCGGAAUCACUGAGCUUGGAUUUGUUUAAUAGUUGUCUUGUGGCCCUAGUGUCAUUUCGAGAAGAUUGAGUUUACGGAUGGUGAUGAGCUGUUGAGGUUCGUCCUUUGAAGGUUGGUUCUCUCCUGGACAUCAAUAUUGCUAGGAGGCUGCUUCCAGUU